rnacentral:rRNA from 1 species
UGCGUAGGCGGAAUAAUAAGUCAGUGGUGAAAUCCUGCGGCUCAACCGUAGAACUGCCAUUGAUACUGUUAUUCUUGAAUUUAGUUGAGGUAGGCGGAAUGUGUAAUGUAGCGGUGAAAUGCUUAGAUAUUACACAGAACACCGAUUGCGAAGGCAGCUUGCUAAACUAAUAUUGACGCUGAUGCACGAAAGCGUGGGGAGCGAACAGGAUUAGAUACCCUGGUAGUC